CAAAAUCCCUAGCUAUUUUUUGGAUGAACUUCUGUGACAUUCAUCAUGUUAUUGCUAGUACUCAUGUAAUUUCAUGAUCGGCAAGUGUGCCACAAAGAUCUACUAUACUGAGACCAAAUGGGUAAGAGAACUUUAUGCAGAAACUUUCGGUGCAAUCAACUACCUUAUGAUUAACCUUCUCCACAUUGGUGCUAGUAAACAGCUUGAAUCCUGUAAUGGAAGUUUGAUGGAAUCAUGGAAUUGGAAGACACCACCAGAAAACUAUUCUUAAUUUCAGAAACCUUUACCAUAAUCAAUUCUUCAAGAUGCACCUGAUUUUGUUAAAUGUUUCAAUGGCACCCUUCUAGUUGAUACCUUUAAGUGCGUUAUGACGUUGUCAGGUAAUGAAAGGUCUAUUGGAAAGAAAAAAAAAAAUGAUUUUGAUCGCUCCCAUUUGCAUGCGGCUUGUCGAUUUAUAUAUUUGCUUCCUGUUUUCUUUUGCUUUGUGGAAAGGAGGGAAACUUGUUACUAAAAAAAAAAAAAAAAAAAGUGGCUUGUGAAGCAUCUAACAAGGCAAUUCGAUUUGGAAUCCCUUGAUUCCAGUGCUGCAGAAAGCUGUUGUCUUAAGGAAGCAACUGUCACCUGCAAUCCUUCACACUCACAGAUCUGAUUUACCAAAAUGGAAGCCAGCUGUUAUUGGAUUACUCUGUUGUCCACAGUUUUGACCUGAAAUAAAUGAAAUAAUACGCAAUUCCAGUUGCGCCCCGACUAAGGAAAUGAAGCCACUGGUUCUUAGCUUAUGGGCUGGCCUGUGUGACAAGGAACUCACUACUCUCCUGUUGCACGUUGAAGGAGCCGCUGUUGAAGAUGGAAGAAAGCCCAUCAUAUGGGAUACUUACACACAUGCUGGUUAACAGCAUUUUCACCUACCACUAUUCUGCAUCUUCAUCAUCUGACAGAAUCAAAAGAUUCAAUUAAUCACCUGAGAUUUUUUUUCUGUCACAGGAAAUUUUUUUGACAAGAGCACGUGAGUCAUUUCAGCAAAUCAAUAUCUCAAGCACAAGGUGAAAAAACAACCUAGUAGAUUCUCAAUAGAAAUGCUUGUUUUGGUUGAUGGCAGAAAGAUUUGAAGCUAAUGCAUGAGAUGGGCCUGGAUGCCUAAAGAUUUUCUAUUUCCUAGUCCAGGCUAAUUCCUGAUGGACGGGGAGCUAUCGACCCAAAAGGCUUGUAGUACUACAACAAUCUCAUCAAUGAACUUGUCCAUCAGUUGAACUCUCCUGAUUGUCGUUUAUGAACCGUUCAUAAGGUGAGCUCUUCUAGAACUAGAUACCUGACAUCUCAAUGGACUUCCUAUUUAAUCAAUCAUUUAUUUGGCAUGGGUGAUUGAGUGCAAAUUUGUUCUUAGUUUUAAAGCCUUUCAUUCUCAUCUUGAAUUUAAAGUUUUUAUAUACCUCAUUGUCUACGUGUGGAUGAACUCUUCAUAACUGGUUAUCUCUUUAUUUGUUCAUAUACCAAAUAUAUUCUUCCAUGUGGUCCUGAUUUCUGCCAUUUACCCUGUAGCGGUUAACAUGGAGGCAAGAACAUUUACUACGUGCUCAACAAGGAAUUCCAAUAUCGGAAUAUGAGGUUUUAUGAAGGUGUUGUGCAUUCUUGUAACCCAGGAAAGAAGAAAUAUGUGGUGAACUAUGAGACUUGUGUACUUCUCUUAAUUAUCCCUGUCCAAACUAUCUACUUUCUUGAAGACUUCUUGAAUGAUAUUUCUUUCAAAGAUACUAUAUGACGAUGGAGAUGUGGUAGUUCUCUAGUUAGAUAAGGAGCAGUGGGAGGUUAUCAGUGGCGGUUUUGAGCCUAGCAAGCCCCGAGAAGAUCAAGUUGAAACCAUUACAAGGAAAAAGCAAAGCAAAAAAUCAGCCAGGGGAGGGACCUCUAUAGAAAGAGCUACUUCCAUGCAUGUGAAAGCCUUUUAUCUGUACUCCUCAAUAAACUGAGGGGGAAGAUGGCAAUCCUUUCACUGAAGAAAUCUGGACCAAAACUCCCUUAACUCCUGACCCAAUUCUCAGUCAGGAUUGCUGGGACUAGCCUUGCCGUCAUCUUCUCUGUCUUCUGUAAGGUCGCAGGUGGAAGAGUGCCAUUUUGUGCCACCAAGCUACUCAAUACUGGGUUUGGGUUAGGAUUGGUCUGGCUUUCAUGGGCAUUCAACCACUUUAGAGAUACGAUCGUCUAUGUCAGCAAGAAUUCAAGUAGGGUGGUUUUGAAUGAGGAUGAGAUUGUGAGAAAAGUCAAUAGAAGUGUGAAUGUUAUUUUCUUCAGGGCUGUGAUGUUAAUGGCGGUUGCAGUGCUGAGGUUUGCAUGAGUAAAAAGGCAAGGAGAUUUUGGAGUUGGGUUUUUCCUUUUUCCCACCAUAAGCUUAUGUGAAAAUCUUGAGACAUCGGUAUUUUUCUAACCUUAGUUUUAUGGCAGUUGAUGUGG